rnacentral:rRNA from 1 species
CGGGUUGUAAAGCUCUUUCAGCCGGAAAGAAAUCGUGCAACCUAAUACGUUGCAUGGAUGACGGUACCGGAAGAAGAAGCACCGGCUAACUACGUGC